AAUGCAUGUUAAAUAGUAAUGAAGACAUGGAGACAGCCGCCUGACUUGCCUCUUUGCUGGUGACUGUCCCACCUGCUGGGAGAGGGAUACCCAGAGGUCCACAGAAGAGCCCUCUUAUCAGAAGACAGCAGCCUCCCUCCUUGCCCCAUCACAAGGUCCAGGAGCACAGGCCAGAGGAACAGUUGCCUCUAGAUCCUCAGUUUCUCUGUGAAAUGGGAGAGAUACUGGACCAGGGUUAGGACUAUAUGAAUGGUGUUCAGUCCUAAGCCCAUGGUCUUCAUAUGGAUCUGAGCCCCUGAAAGGGCCCGAAGGCUGGGGAGAGAUCCUGUCACAUGCCCUGGCCCAGACUCCUUUGGUAUCCAAAGCAGAUGGCCCCAGCAAGAUGGGGAUAAUAUUCCAAGCAGCUUCCCAAGCUUGGCCAGGCAUCUGGGCACCAGGCACAGCACAUGUUUGCUACAUAUGUUGGUGAUGUGUUUGCCUCCAAGAACGGAAGUGGCCCAGAAGUCCCCCAUACAGUGUCACAUACCAUCUCCAGGAAGGCUGUCCAUCCAGGGAGCGGCUGACUCGCUAGCUGAGGAGCUGGUGGUAAGCACCCCACUUCAUCAUGAGAAAGCGGGGCAGGAGGGAGAUGGGGAUUUUGAGUCCCUGUGAGCAGGCAGGGUCUUCCCAACUGCUACAUCUCAACUCAUCACUGUGGCAGGAGGAUGCUAGGGGCCUGGGGUCAGCAGCUGUGCUCUCUGCUUCUUGCCCCCAGCGAGGGACACUGGACAAGGAGGUAAACAAGGGCAGUCUGAGCUGCUAGCAUGUACCAUCUGUUGAGGGCGGAAGCAUCUUUGAUGUCUUCCCAUACUCCUAUUCACAUUCCUUAAUUCUUCCACAGCAGCUUCAGGAAUCAUCUCAAAAUAAAAAUUCAAGUCAUGUUCAUACCUGCUGAACCCUUAUCAUGGUUUCCCACUUAGCUUGGAUGAUCCUUCCAGUCCUUCUCAGAACCCAUUAGGCUGGACAGCGCCAGGUUCCCACUUGGCUACUUUCUGCCCUUCCCAGGCACCACACCUCAGACACACUGAGCUUUUGAAAGUGUUUGCUCCUCAUCUGGACCUUGUGUUGGUCCAGAUAUGCACGUAGAUGCAUUCUGAAGAGCUCACGUUCCAUGCUCCCUCGUGAUAGUGCCCUGGGGAAAUGUGGGCUCCCAUCUAGCACAGGUCCCAUUCUGACGAUAAGCAGAAUAUGGGGCAUCCUCUUUUUCCGCUGUUCAUGUCCUUUAUUAAGUCUAUCAGUACUAGGCUAAAGGCUCUCUGAAGGCAGACGCUUUGCCUGUCCUGUUCUGCUCUGUGACCCCAAGUUCCUGAGCACAGUCAGGCAUGCAAAAGAACUCCACAAACCACAGAAGGUGAGUGGCUUCCAACUUCCUGCCUUUUCAUUUACCCUCCUCCCCGUCCCACCUGAAAGUGGAGAGUGCUUUUUCUUAAAAAAAAAAAAAAAAAAAAAAGAUACUAAUAUUAAUUUAUUUUCUGUAUGCAUGUGUGAGGUCAGAAGAUUCUGAGAGUUAGCUCUCUCCUCUUUCCACCAAGUGUGUCCGGAGACUCAAACUCAUGUCUUCAGUCUUGGCGGUGGUACCUCUACUGGCUGAGUCAUCUCCAUGGCCCCAAACUGUUUUUUUUUAGAUACACACAGCACAAACCGCAGCACAUGAGAAUGUUAUGAAAAGAACAAACUGGACUGCCAAUCACAUUUUUACAAAUGAGUCCUCUGGCCUCUGCCAGCUUUUUCUACGUGCCUGCAGCUUGUCUUGGGAAUUAUUCUUGGGGACCGUUUGCUUUCUGGCACCAUACCACCAGCAUGUGUAGUAGACACGUCCCAGGGUGGGGGAUUUUGCUUAGUUACACUGGAUGACGAAUGUUUCCACAGCUGCAAACAGGGCAUUCUUGCUCAGGAGUUGGGGCUGCUGGAGAAAGCUGCAGACCCCACUGCCAGUGUUUGAAUGGAAAAGAGAAGGAAGGAGGCAGGAAUUCCUCAAGGCAGCCUUGAGGCCACUGGCAGUGCUCAGAAAAACCCAACGGGGCAAACUUCUGCUGGUAUCCUAGGCAAAGAAUUAGGCUGGAAGCAUACCAACCAAUUAAAUUAAAAUGAGCCGAGCCCUCAUGCUCUGCGCCCCAGGAACAGUACCGGAAGCGUGUGUCUCAGACUUGCUGUUUGCCGGGCGUGUACGAGUGCCGCGCUUGAAGCUCAGGAUCAGACAUUCUCUGUGCUGGAGACAAGGCCAUGGAGGCGCGCGAAGAUUAAGGAAAGUGCUGGGGCUUGAGUCCGAACACAGCUCUAGCUGACAGCCAUCAGGCUCUCAUAUUCGCAGCUAAAUGCUUCCACCUUCCAUUCUCACUGUAUCGACUAUGAAAAGUGUUCUGGAAUCCAGCUGCCCGGGAGAAUUACCUUGGGGGCCUCUUUUGAAAAAAGAAACCUCAGUACCUAGACAGAUCUCACCAAUUAACGUCCCCAGGCAUUUAAUUGAUUCAAAGGUGAUUCUAACACGCAGCAAGACCCUUCAGACCUCAAAACCAGUUCUUAAAUGUGGGUUCUUUGGGCCAGCAAUAUCAUCAACAUCCAAGGCUUACUAGAAAUGCAAACUCCUGGGCCAGCAAGCUAGUUCAGCAGGUAAGGACACUUACUGCCAAGUCUGAAGACCUGGCUUUGAUCUCCUCCAGACUCCGUGUGGCAGAAGGAGGAACUGACUCAUGCAAAUUGUCCUCUGACAUUCUCAUGUGCGCCCUGGCAUGUGCAUACCCCAAAUUUAGAAAAAAAAAAAAAAGUUUAAAAAAGAAGGAGAAGAAGAUGAAGAAAGAGGAGGAAAAGAAGAAAUGCAAACUUUCGUAGACCUGUGGGAUCUAAAACUUCAGAGCUGAGCCCAGAAAUUGAUCUUUUUACAAAACGUGUAGGUUAUUUUGAAAUAAUUCUGAAAUUCAUGCCUUGAAAACCACUGUUCCUUACAUACUGUAAAUUCACCAUGGCCAGGACCUUAUCCUGUAAUUGAACUACCUUGAACCAAAACACAGAAUGAAAAGGCUUGCAUACAGCAUGAUGCUCCUGUUAUUUCCACUAAAGGAAGAAAACCUAAACACAUGGGCGCUUAGUUGUGACUUUGCAAACAGGAAUUUGCUGGGAUAUCUAAUGGUUAAAGUGUUUGCAGCUCACGGAUGAAAUCUAUUCCUGCCCCGAACCCCCACCAGGUUAGAGAGAUAAAACAAACACCUAUCACAGCCAUGGUAGCUGGCCUGGCCCCAGGUGUCAUUGGUUCUGCAAGACUGUUGGAUUUUCUGCCCCUCCAGCCCAGAGGAUUGAAGGCGGCCAGUUUUGACAAGCACAUGAGAAUGUUCCUAUCAAGUAAAUCAAUCCUGCAUCCGGCUGCCCCGCUCAACACCCAGGCAGUGUGGUAGCUUCAUCAGAGAGAAUUAACAGUACUUGCAGCACGUCUCAGAAGAGGGCGGAUAUGUGUCUGUGUCUGCAGCCAGCUUCUUCGAAGUUUCCUUGCUUGGAAUCUCAACAGUCCUGCAAGUGAGCGACAAUUACGUUCGUCUCUACCGUUAACGCGUCUGUGACUGGAGGAGGGGAAGGGUGCUAUGGAGCAAUCAACAAUCGAUGGAGAGAAGGUGACCUGACGCGGCAGUCCUGGCCCUAGUUAUCCUGGAAUCCACUAUGCAAACCAGCAAGCUCAAGCUCACAGAGAUCUACCUCUGCCUCCUGAGCGCUUGCUUGGCUUAAAAGCAUGGACCACCUCACCUGGCCUUCUACCCUGUCUCACAUGGCUGCAUCUUUACGAUAUUGUAGUAUGAUAUAAUCGUAUAUUAAUAUACCAACUCAAUUAGUAAAAUUAAUGUUAUGUUGCAUAUUAUACAGUGUUAUACCAUAUAAUGUAGAUGAAAUAUAUAUAAGGUCCAUGAAACUUUCCAUAAUAAAUAUAUUAUGUAACACAAUAUAACAUAACUUUAUAAAACAUAAUAUAAUAUAUUUGUGAUAUGUUAAUGCUAUAUAUUAAUAUAUAACAUAUAACAUGACAUAUUAACUAUAACAUAUAUACUUACCUCUCUGAAUACAGACAUCUUACACCUGGCUUAGCUCAAAAGCUGCCUUUUCAGAGACGCCCUUCCUGCCAGCCUGCUCAAUGUCACACACAGCCUCUCUUCUACC